GCCGGGGUGACGAAACAGGCAAACGUAGCGGACUCAAAAUCCGCUGGGUGCAAACCCUUGUGGGUUCGACUCCCACCCCCGGCA
rnacentral:tRNA from 1 species